GAUUUGAGAGACAGGGCGUCGUGUGACGUCUUGUUGAUGUUGUUGCCGUAGAGGAAGAUGGCGGCUCGCUGGAGUAGUGAGAAUGUGGUGGUGGAAUUGCGAGAUGCGCAGGCCACUGCCAUGUCCGUGGACUGCCUGGGUCGACAUGCUGUCCUGUCAGGACGGAGGUUUCUGUAUGUGGUGAACCUGGAGACUCCGUCUGAAGCUCCCAGGAAGAUUGGCAGGCCGAGCAAAUGGGACGUGGGGACGGUUCAGUGGAACCCCCACAAGGCAGAGUCCCACGUCUUCGCUGCCUCUAGUAACCAGCGAGUUGACCUGUACACAUGGCGUGAUGGCUGUGGGGAGGUCCACGCGUCCCUGCAGGGACACACACGAGUCAUCAGUGACUUGGACUGGUCCUGGUUUGAACCGGAGUAUCUGGUCACCAGCUCUGUAGACACCUACAUCUGUAUCUGGGAUACCAGAGACACGAGGAAACCUACUGUGGCGUUGUCUGCAGUGGCGGGGGCAUCCCAGGUCAAGUGGAACAAGCGUAAUCAGUACCUUCUAGCCUCCAGUCAUGAUGGAGAUGUUCGCAUCUGGGACAAGAGGAAACCCAACACAGCUGUGGAGUACGUUGCAGCUCACCUGUCUAAGAUCCACGGUCUGGACUGGCACCCUGACAACGAAUACAUCCUGGCCACGUCCAGUCAGGACAACUCCGUCAGGUUCUGGGACUACAGACAGCCCAGGAAGUAUCUGAACAUCCUGUCCUGUCAGGUUCCUGUGUGGAAGGCCAGAUAUACUCCUUUCUCCAAUGGCCUGGUGACAGUGAUGGUUCCCCAGCUGAGACGUGAGAACAGCUUGUUGCUUUGGAGCGCUCUGGACCUCAACAGCCCCGUCCACGCCUUCGUGGGACACGAUGACGUGGUGCUAGAGUUCCAGUGGCGUCCGCAGAAAGAAGCUUCUAAGGAGUACCAGAUGGUGACUUUGUCCAGAGACCAGACUCUGAGAAUAUGGAGGCUGGAUCCACAGCUACAGAAGCUGUGUGCCAACGACCUGGUAGAGGAUCUGAUAGAGGGGAUCAGCCUAACUACCGAGUCAGAGAAGAGCCUUCCCUCUCAGGACCCUGAACCCACCAUACACAGCUGUGGUCUGCCAGCCGAACACCUGCAGGACCAGGCUGGUGCUCUGACCUCCGGUGGUAGACAUGACUCUUCUGCUCUGCCCCAGACACUGCAACAGGAGUUCUCUCUGGUCAACCUGCAGAUCAGGAACGUCAACGUGGAGAUGGAUGCGGUGAACCGUAGCUGUGUGGUGUCAGCCGUGUUCGGGACCAACCAGGUCCACCUGGUGGUGAAGUUCCCAUCCCACUACCCCAACAACGCUGCUCCAUCCUUCCAGUUCAUCUCCCCUACCACCAUCCCCACAGCCAUGAGGACCAAGAUCCAGAAGUAUCUCCUCUGUGUAGAUCCUGACAGACACGUCACUGCAGAAGGUCAAGAGGAAUCAGAACUGUCUGGAGCCCUGUGUUAGACAGCUGGUGUCCUGUCUAGAGUCUUACAUGACCCAGGAGGAUGGUAGUGCUGCCAACCCGUACGUCCUGUCUAACCCCGUGACCCCUGCUCUGCCAGCCUUCCCCCGGGUCACCAACACCUACGGCUCCUACCAGGAUGCCAACAUCCCCUUCCCUCGUACCUCCGGGGCUCGCUUCUGUGGCACCGGCUGCUUGGUGUACUUCACAAGACCCAUCACUAUGCAUCGCUCGGUACCACCCACUGAACCCACACCCAGGUCCCUGUCGGCCCUGUCUGCGUACCACAGUGGGGUCCUGACUCCUAUGAAGAUGCGUAGUGAGUCUCAGAGCUCUCUGAGGCUGUACAGUGGCAGCCCCACCCACACGGACAAGGACCAUGUCUCCAUAUCAUCAUUCUACUACAAAGAACGGAAGUCUCGUCGGUUCAAGACGAAGCGCGAGGGAGCCGACUACGGUAACAGACCCGUAAAGCUGGCAGGGAAAGUCAUCAUCCAGGAGAUCUCCUGUCUGCUGCCUGUUCACAAAGCCCUGGGGGAGACAUACAUUCUGAAUGUGAACGACAUACAGGACACGUGUCAGAAGAAUGCAGCAGCAGCUCUGGUGGUGGGACGCAGAGACGUGGCUAAGGUGUGGGCCCUGGCCUCGGCUGCCACCAGUCUAGAACUCAGUCCUGACUCUGACCCUGAUGCAGACGCUCCCUGGGCCAGACACCCAUUUGGACGCCACCUGCUGGAGACUCUUCUGGACCACUACAGUCUGAUGAGUGAUGUCCAGACUCUAGCCAUGCUGUGUAGUGUGUUCAGGACUCCUCUGUCCUCUCCUCCCCAGUCUGGACCACUACAGUCUGAUGAGUGAUGUCCAGACUCUAGCCAUGCUGUGUAGUGUGUUCAGGACUCCUCUGUCCUCUCCUCCCCAGUCUGGACCACUACAGUCUGAUGAGUGAUGUCCAGACUCUAGCCAUGCUGUGUAGUGUGUUCAGGACCCAGGGCUGUUCCCAGGACUACUUCUCUCUGUAUGGACAGCAACGCUCUUCUCUGUUUCCCUCUCAUCACUCCCGAUACCCCAGCUACACAUCCAGCUCUGUGUCGUCAGGCUCCUGUUACAGCACCUCAGACUCCACCACCACCACCACCUGGAGCAUCGGUCGAGACCCGGAGCACGUCCCUCCCUUGGGGGAGUCCUCGCCUGACGACUAUCGCUACGCCAACCAGAUGUACACAGACCCACGCGAGCGAGAGAGAGAACAACACGACAUGAAUAAAAGGCUGCUGGACCCAGCCAACACCAUGCAGUUUGAUGACUUUAAGAAGUGUUACGGGGAGAUCCUCCAUCGAUGGGGUCUGAAGGACAAGAGAGCGGAGGUCCUCAAGUUUACAUCCUGUCCUCCUGAACCUCACAAAGGCAUCGAGUUUGGUGUGUACUGCUGCCAUUGUCGUAGCCAGGUGCGGGGGACUCAGUGUGCUGUGUGUAAGCGCUUCACCUUCCAGUGUGCCAUCUGUCACGUGGCUGUCCGAGGCUCCUCUAACUUCUGUCUGAGUUGUGGUCACGGGGGGCACACCUCCCACAUGAUGGAGUGGUUCAGAACACAGGACGAAUGUCCCACAGGCUGCGGCUGUCACUGUCUGCUACAGAGCACCUUCUGAGAGAGACGCUGGGACACAGACUGAUGCAGACUCACACACACACUGUCUGCUACAGAGCACCUUCUGAGAGAGACGCUGGGACACAGACUGAUGCAGACUCACACACAUAUACACACAUAUACUGUCACUGUCUGCUACAGAGCACCUUCUGAGAGAGACGCUGAGACACAGACUGAUGCAGACACACACACACACACACACUGUCUGCUACAGAGCACCUUCUGAGAGAGACGCUGAGACACAGACUGAUGCAGACACACACACACACACACACAGCAGUCCAUUCAUUUAGUCCUAGAACGCUGUGGUCUGGAGAGGUUGUAUCAUGUAAUGCUGAGGUAGAGGUUGUUAUGAAGGCCUUAAUGCCUUGACUAGAUGUUCCCCCACACAAUAAACAUCUGAUGAUUGAAUACUUGAAUA